rnacentral:lncRNA from 2 species
GUGCUGUUCCUCCUGCCCCCAAGAAGGGGCGGCAAACGCUGCACAGUGAAAUGAAAUCCAAAGCCCCCACCCCCGGCCCCUGGGAUAAACCACUAAGGGCCUUGCUGGGCAAACACAAUUAGCAUUGAGCAAAGUACACAGACGUCUUCCACCGCUAUCAGUAUUGUUGAUCUCUGAAGACACGAGCUUGUUUCUGAAGACAGCAUCUUCAGCUGGUCAGUGGGAUUGCCUUCUGACAGUGUCGCCAGACUUGCAGUUCAGAGGUGGUGACAGAAAUGACUCUCGGUGGCCCCAUCUCUCAGAUGCAGGAGGAUUCUUCGAGAAGGUGCUGGUGCCUUCAGUCUUCAAGGAGCUGGCCUCAGAGUUGCAGCAAGCAGGCUCCUUUAAGACAGAUCUGUGCUCCUAAUUAUGUGCUGCUGAAGAGGCUGCUCAUGACUCAACGUGGGACAGGACUGUUUGUACGUCUUCUGGGCAAAGUGCUCAUUUUCAGCUUGCGUUUAUUGGCACUGUUCAGCUUAGGUGAGAUUGCUGUGGGAAGUAGCUCUCUUAAUAAAUCAUCUUUGAGUUUAUUUAGUCAGUAACACAAUCUAGCCCUUGUCAAAUACAUUAACUGCUAUUUAUCUAGGAGGAAUCCCGAGGAGGGCUGAGUCACUUCUCAGAUUGCUCAACUAUGAAGGGCUAACACGGAAACAGGUUCUUCUGCAGUUUUAUGUUUCCUCUUAAAUCCUGGCUGAUGUUCCCUGUUUUUGUAUACUGUGGGAAGUUUUCUUCCAGCUGGUAAUGAGCUAUCAGGGAGGCUCAACCCGCAGGCCCCGUAAGCCCCAGGAAUUUACACAACGUUGGAGGAAUUUUCCCCGUGAGGGCCUGCAGCUGGGCGUUCCUGCGACACUGCUCUGCUUUGCGUGGCCCGGUGGAGCAUCUCUCUGAGGCGCUUGGGCCCUGGAGGGCGACCUGCAGUGCUCUUCCGUUUCUAAGAGCUGGCUCCCUGAAUUUCUCUGAUUCAAGAUACGAUUGCCUUUUGGGCCAGGUCAUCAACUGGGCACAUUUUGGGACUUCUCAGAACUCAGUCACAACUGGCUACCAUCCAGUCUUGUUUUCUUUCCUGGGAUCCCUGGAUCAGGAAGAUCCCCUGGAGCAGGAAAUGGCAAGUCACUGCAGUGUUCCUGCCUGGAGAAUCCCAGGGACUGAGGGGCCUG